UACGUAGGGGGCAAGCGUUGUCCGGAUUCAUUGGGCGUAAAGAGCGUGUAGGCGGCCAGGUAGGUCGGUUGUGAAAACUGGAGGCUCAACCUUCAGAGGUCGACCGAAACCAUCUGGCUAGAGUCCGGGAGAGGAGAGUGGAAUUCCUGGUGUAGCGGUGAAAUGCGCAGAUAUCAGGAAGAACCCCCGUGGCGAAAGCGGCUCUCUGGAACGGUACUGACGCUGAGACGCGAAAGCGUGGGGAGCGAACAGG
rnacentral:rRNA from 1 species